UACGUAGGGCGCGAGCGUUGUCCGGAUUCAUUGGGCGUAAAGAGCUCGUAGGCGGCCACUCAAGUCGAAUGUGAAACCUCGAGGCUUAACCUCGAGCCUGCAUUCGAUACUGGGCGGCUAGAGUCUGGUAGGGGGAUCUGGAAUUCCUGGUGUAGCGGUGGAAUGCGCAGAUAUCAGGAGGAACACCGGUGGCGAAGGCGGGAUCCUGGGCCAGUACUGACGCUGAGGAGCGAAAGCGUGGGGAGCAAACAGG
rnacentral:rRNA from 1 species